ensembl:lncRNA
GUUUCGAUUGUCCAGAAAAAAAACCUCCAUAAUGACUGCACGUCUCCACACUAUUGAAGAACCUAAUCGACUUUCAGUGGGACUUCAUAUAGAGCUCUGUUGCACGACAGGAAACAGAGAAAACAGUGAAGGUAAGACCCGUACGUUUUACCAAUCACAGUUUUUUUUUUCCUCUGCAGACCUGGUGUAAACAAUGUUGCAUCUUUGUGUGUACUUUAGUUUUUCAGUUGCUUUACCACCCGACUUUUUGCUUUAACGCCUGAUAAUCCUUUAAUUUUCAGAGUGAAAUCAUAAACCACAGACUGGCUGCCAAAUACAGAUACAGAAGGAGGAGAGAUAGGGUAUCAAUACACAGCCAGUCACGAUUAAUUAGCCUAUAUUUUCAAGAGGAUAGUCGUUCUGCUCACAUCGACAGACUUCAACAUACGGAGCGCUUACAGUUUUGAAAUAUGGACAUCAUCAAUGUGUCAUGUGCAGAUAUUCAGACUCCAGAGGGUUUUCUGUAUGUGAUUCUGCCUGUUAUAAUGAAUCAAACUCUCAGUGUUGACAAUGAGCAGAGCUGGUAUUUAGAGGACGGGCGUCUGAUAGCAGAUCCUUCAGAUCCUCAAAAACUGAUUGCUCCUGCGACGGCUGUAAAAUCUGGUCGUCUCGUCACGUCUAGCUGUGUGAAUCUGAAUCAUGAGGUCAUCUAUGAAUCUGCUGAUGGAUCUUAUUUCAGUCGUGUGACCGCAUAUAGAGUAAGGAAUGAAACUGCAGCAACUCCAAACCCAGUGACUCCAGAUCUUCAGCUCUCAGAUGAGUGGUGGUGGAUUUCUGCUCUUAUUGUCAUUUUUUUUCUGGUGUUGAUCUGUGUCUUGCUGCGUAAAAGGAUCUUUAGGUGUUUUCAGAGGAAAGAGUAGUUAAUCAAUCAGCGCAAAGCUCCAGACAACAGGGAUCUGGUGACGCUCAGAUCUGAUCAUCCUAAUACACUGCAGGAAUCAGUUCAGUGAAUCAGUUUUAGACCCUGAUCACCAUCUGAUGGUCUGAAUCAAAAUCAUGGCCAUUAUAUGACCUGGUCAAAUGGAGAAGACCAGGAAACAGUGAUGUUAUGCUGCAUAUGACUUUAUUUAAAGACCGUAACUGUGUAGUUGCUGAUGUAGUGAUAGUUACAUUAGCUCUUAUUAGCUGUUGUUUAACUUCAAAAGAUUUACAUUUUACAGAGAAUAAUUAUAACCCAGGAAAUGCCUGUAAAGUAACAGUGUAAAACAUUUAAGAACAAGUAAGAUAUAAGUUAGGAUAUUUUACCUUAGUUUUACAGUUUUUGUUUGGCAGCCGCUUCUGCCAGUCAUUGACUGUUUCUUUAAUGUUAAAUGCUUGGCAUCCUGUGCUGCCAUGCAUUUCACUGUUUUAUGUCUAUUUUUACAGUGUUAAACAUAAAUAAUAAUAAUAAAAAACUCAGUUCAUGAAUUAUGAAUAUGUUG